rnacentral:rRNA from 1 species
CAGUCGCCACGGUAAUACGUAGGUGGCAAGCGUUGUCCGGAAUUAUUGGGCGUAAAGGGCUCGCAGGCGGUUUCUUAAGUCUGAUGUGAGAGCCCCCGGCUCAACCGGGGAGGGUCAUUGGAAACUGGGAAACUUGAGUGCAGAAGAGGAGAGUGGAAUUCCACGUGUAGCGGUGAAAUGCCUAGAGAUGUGGAGGAACACCAGUGGCGAAGGCGACUCUCUGGUCUGUAACUGACGCUGAGGAGCGAAAGCGUGGGGAGCGAACAGGAUUAGAUACCCCAGUAGUCCCUGUCUCUUAUAC